rnacentral:rRNA from 1 species
AACGAACGCUGGCGGCAGGCUUAACACAUGCAAGUCGAACGGAUGGGUGUAGCAAUACAUUUCAUCAGUGGCAGACGGGUGAGUAACACGUGGGAACCUUCCUCGUUGUACGGGACAACUCAGGGAAACUUGAGCUAAUACCGUAUAAGUCCGAGAGGAGAAAGAUUUAUCGCAAUGAGACGGGCCCGCGUCGGAUUAGCUAGUUGGUGGGGUAACGGCCUACCAAGGCGACGAUCCGUAGCUGAUCUGAGAGGAUGAUCAGCCACAC